rnacentral:rRNA from 1 species
CCCUUAGAUGUCCGGGGCCGCACGCGCGCUACACUGAAGGAAUCAGCGUGGCUUUCUCCCUGACCCGAAAGGGUUGUGAAACCCGUUGAAUCUCCUUCGUGAUAGGGAUUGGGGCUUGAAAUUGUUCCCCAUGAACGAGGAAUUCCCAGUAAGCGCGAGUCAUAAGCUCGCGUUGAUUACGUCCCUGCCCUUUGUACACACCGCCCGUCGCUACUACCGAUUGAACGGUUUAGUGAGGGCCUCGGAUUGGUCUCGGCCCGCUCUUUACCGGGCGGCGCCGUUGGUCGAGAAGACGCUCGAACUUGAUCGUUUAGAGGAAGUAAAAGUCGUAACA